rnacentral:rRNA from 1 species
UGGGGAAUAUUGCACAAUGGGCGCAAGCCUGAUGCAGCGACGCCGCGUGCGGGAUGGAGGCCUUCGGGUUGUAAACCGCUUUUGUUCAAGGGCAAGGCACGGUUUUUGGCCGUGUUGAGUGGAUUGUUCGAAUAAGCACCGGCUAACUACGUGCCAGCAGCCGCGGUAAUACGUAGGUG